rnacentral:lncRNA from 1 species
UCCCCCAAGCUUACACUUUGCUCGUCCCUGAGCAAACAGCUAAACUCAGACGGAUCAGGAGUUGCUUUGAUGUUUUCUUUCCUGACAGGCACACAUGCUUUUAUAAAAAUUCUUCCAGAUUAGAGUGAAGUGUUAUGGAGUUUAGAACCUACACUUAAAUCUUAAGUAAUUGAAAGACAAAAUAAUUAAGUCAAGCACUAUUCCUCCUGUCUAUACUUCACCUUUGUUCCAGAGUUUUUCAUAAGUUUUCAAAAUAAAACUCAGAGUUUCCAGCAAUGAUUCUCUCAAGUCUCUCUAUAUGUGGUAUUUGUGGAUCCUUACCAAAAUAUCACUUACCUAUAGCUAAUGGAAUAUUUAAGUGGAGCUCAUAGGAGUGAAAAACAGCUCAUACAUAUGUUGUCUAAUCGAGCCAUGGAUCCAAAGGAACUCAGCAUAUAAUUAAAUCAAGAUGUGCAUGUGUGGUUUAGUAAAUGAUAGUGAUGAUAAAAAUGUAUAAGUGAUAAUAAAACUUAGUUCUCAUUGCUCCUCAUAUUGCUAUCUCUCCUCUUCUUUGAUCUUUGCUUUGGGAGAACAAGGGCUAUCUUUUUCUUUUCUUUUCUCUUUUUUUUCAGGUGGGUAGUAGAUACCCCUAAUUCUACUGUCGGACACUUGUCCAUUUUUUCCGCUCAAGUGGGCAUCUUUGUACCCCUAAUUCUACUUCGGACACUUGUCCAUUUUUACCUCUUGUCUCACUCUUUUUCUUUCUUUUUCGAGGUUCCGGGCACUUGCCCCUUUUUAUUUCCUCGCAUAUUUUUGCAUAACCCAUGCCUCUUCUACAUUGAAUCUUUUUAGAGAGAGAGAGAAUAACAAUACUUGGGACAGUGAGUGAUAAUAUUUUUAGCAAUUUUAAUAAAUGGUGGUGGAUGGUGUGGUAGAUGUGUGCAAGUGAAUAUCUUAUUUUAACCACAUGAAAAGCUCCUAAGGGUCUACACAGCUCGAUCAAACUCAAUGUAAGUGUAGUAAAAGAUGUUAUAGCAAGUAUGGCUGUGGUAGGAAUUUUGUUAUCCUAGGAACUCAUCAUGUGAUUUGCAAGUUUCCAAAAUAAAUCUCCAGAACUUAGUGUAGUAGGAAUAAGAUAAAUAGCAGCUCAAACUUUAUAUUAUGUCAUUCUCUUACCUAGACUUUUAGUUUUAUGCUUCCCAAAGAUAGUAAUUUUAGUUUUAAUAAUUCCUGGAAGAACUCUAAUAUAAAAGCUAGGUACUUGAAAGUAAGCAAACAGAGCAACUGUUCAUCAUUUCCAUCAUGCAUUUUUUGGUCUUUUUUAUUUUUCUAGAGAUUAAACUUAGCAGAUACAUAAAGCACACUUAUCUACACACUCUUUUUAUUUUGUUUUCAUGUUUAUAAAAUGCAGUAAAUUAAAGCA